UGGCUCAGGACGAAACGCCUGGCUGCGUGCUUAACACAUUGCAAGUUCGAACGAUGAAGCUCUAGCAUGCUAGGUUGGAUUAAUGGCGAACGGGUGAGUAAUACGUGAGUCGACCUACCUUUGACUCUGGGAUAAGCCUGGGAAACUGGGUUCUAAUACCGGAUACUACCAAUCUCCUCAUGGGGUGUUUGGUGGAAAGCGUUAUGGAGUGGUUUUAGAUGGGCUCACGGCCUAUCAGCUUGUUGGUGAGGUAAUGGCUUACCAAGGCGACGACGGGUAGCCGGCCUGAGAGGGUGACCGGCCACACUGGGACUGACACACGGCCCAGACUCCUACGGGAGGCAGCACUGGGGAAUAUUGCACAAUGGGCGCAAGCCUGAUGCAGCGACUCCGCGUGAGGGAUGACGGCCUUCGGGUUGUAAACCUCUGUUAGCAUCGAAUAAGCGAAAGUGACGGUAGGUGCAGAGAAAGCGCCGGCUAACUACUUGCCAUCAGCCGCGGUAAUACGUAGGGCGCGAGCGUUGUCCGGAAUUAUUGGGCGUAAAGAGCUUGUAAGCGGUUGGUCUCGUCUGCUGUGAAAGGCUGGGGCUUAACCCUGGUUUUGCAGUGGGUACGGGCUAACUAGAGUGCAGUAGGGGAGACUGGAAUUCCUGGUGUAGCGGUGGAAUGCGCAGAUAUCAGGAGGAACACCGAUGGCGAAGGCAGGUCUCUGGGCUGUAACUGACGCUGAGAAGCGAAAGCAUGGGGAGCGAACAGGAUUAGAUACCCUGGUAGUCCAUGCCGUAAACGUUGGGCACUAGGUGUGGGGGACAUUCCACGUUUUCCGCGCCGUAGCUAACGCAUUAAGUGCCCCGCCUGGGGAGUACGGCCGCAAGGCUAAAACUCAAAGAAAUUGACGGGGGCCCGCACAAGCGGCGGAGCAUGCGGAUUAAUUCGAUGCAACGCGAAGAACCUUACCAAGGCUUGACAUAUACUGGACUGCGUCAGAGAUGGCGUUUCCCUUCGGGGCUGGUAUACAGGUGGUGCAUGGUUGUCGUCAGCUCGUGUCGUGAGAUGUUGGGUUAAGUCCCGCAACGAGCGCAACCCUCGUUGUAUGUUGCCAGCACGUGAUGGUGGGGACUCAUAGGAGACUGCCGGGGUCAACUCGGAGGAAGGUGGGGAUGACGUCAAAUCAUCAUGCCCCUUAUGUCUUGGGCUUCACGCAUGUUACAAUGGCCGGUACAGAGGGUUGUGAUACUGUGAGGUGGAGGUAAUCCAUAAAAGCCGGUCUCAGUUCGGAUUGGGGUUUGCAAACUAGACCCCAUGAAGUCGGAGUCGUUAGUAAUCGCAGUUCAGCAACGAUGCGGUAAAUACGUUCCCG
rnacentral:rRNA from 1 species